AGGUGAACCUGCGGAAGGAUCAUUAGUGAAAUAACCUGGGACGUUAUGUCCCAAACCUUCUCACAUCCACAUACCUUUGUGCACCGUUGGACAGCUCUUUAAUAUAUAUUUUUUUUCUUUUGAAAAAAAAAUAGAGGUGCCGUCCUAUUAUUUCACAAACAUCUUAUGCAUGUAUGGAACGUAUUAUUCAAUGCUCUAGCAGCACUGAAAUAAAUAAAUAAAAUUAAACAAAACUUUCAACAACGGAUCUCUUGGCUCUCA
rnacentral:misc_RNA from 1 species